UUCCUCCAUAUCUUCGACCUUCCUUCGAUACACCUCUAAGGUGUCAGUCCAUCCUUCGGACAGGCUGAGGGCAUAAUGUUGCAUCUCUUCCAUCGAGACCGCUGGAGGACCAUGUUUGCCAUACACCUUGGAAUAGCCCCGGGCUCUAGAGGCAUCUCUCUGGAGCAGACAGGCAAGAACCAUGGUUACAGAGAUAGAGAUGUGUGUGCCUUUUGUCCUGUUAAUCAUUGCUGCAUUGAGGGAGGAUCAGAUAGACUAGACUCAAUCAUAGACAUGAGGUCCCCCUCCAAGGACCUCAAACAAAUGGGUCUGGAGGUCAUCUACUCAAGGGCCUCAGGAAGGUACCUGUGUGAUUUUGUGUAUUACUGCUCUCUGCACCAUGGCCAUGGGAGGGCAGCCUUCAUCCAUGUGCCAGCCUCAGGCAGCCUGGCCACUCCUGAAAGACUGGUACCACUGCUGCAGACUGUCAUUCAGGCCAUGCUCAACCAGCUGGAGGCCCUACAAACAGCCAAAGACCACAUGACAACUGUCUCCAAGACUCCCGAAGACCCAACCAUGGCUACCUCAGGCUUAGUGCACACGUGAGAUCAUCCAUGACUGGUUAGAUCAUCCCACUCGUAUUGUUACUAUUCAUACUGUAACAAUGUGUUGUAAACAGUAAGUCAUUCUGCUAAAUAUACAAGUAUGGAAUAUAGUCACGUAUGUUGAGAUGUGGAUAAUGUAUAACUCAUAAGCAAUCAGUCAUGACAGCAAGUCAUCAUUCUCAUUCACUUUUUUAUUCAAAUUUUAAGAAAAAAAUACAAGAAAUUCUCAUAGAUAUACAUUAAGAGAAUGGCAUGUCAAAAAUACACCAUCUCAAUUAUACGUGUGAAAAACCAGGAGGCCUCAGAUACAGAACUUGCAAAAAGAUAGUCUAGCCAAGCUGUUUAACCAAAUCUAUUUGCCAAUCAUUGAAAUGACACAGAGAUUCAGAUUUUGUGAAAGUAUAGGUAAAUAAAAACGAAGUAAAAUCUUCUCAGUAGAUCAAGGCCCCUUUUUGAAGUUGUCGGAAUGCAAAGCAGAACAACAGUGCCUGAAAAAUUAUACUGAUAAACCUCAAGCUCAUUAUUGCGAUUUGAUUGCAUGGAUGCAUCUUCUAUAAACCUGAGGUUUGCAUAUAGGACAUUCUGAAGAAAAUACAAUUACAAUUAUAUUAAUAAUAAUUGAAAUGAAACCUUUUCAGUCAAUCUUAUCUCCGUGUUUGCAAAUUGGCAAUGCAAAAAGAAACCAUCUCUCUACUGUAAACAACUCUUCUUAAAACUCUAGUCAUGCUAUUUACUCUCUGCCAUGACUACCCGUAAUCUACUGAACAUGUCUGUCCUAUUUAUGUCCAUGUAUCUACUUGAGUUGUGGUUAUAAUAGGUAUGUAACCCUCUGGUAACUAAGGAACACAGCCAGCAUUCCAAGAAAACAAAUAAUCACUUCGCAACAGGCCAACCCUUUAACCAAUUUUGAUAACUGAAAAAAAGAAGAAAUACAUAUCACAUAUUUCUAUCUUUGAUCAUUACAGACACCAACACUUGAAAGACUACAUCUAAAUGUGAAACACUCCCAUCCAUUAUACUGUACUCAACAACAGUAGCACAGGGCCCUUGUUAAAACGGUGAUCUGAAUUAUUUCUUAAAAAUCUGGUAGUAUAUAUAUAUAUAUAGCCAUUUGUUUCUGCCAAUUCAUCCAACCAAGUCUCUUUUGCUGCACCCCCCCCCCCCCGCUUGACUUUACAGCCUAAAAAAAGUACAACUUCAGAAUAUUGAACACGUAAGAUUUCCAGGUUUUGUUGACCUGUGAACCCAAAAACCUUUCACCAUUCUGCUCCAUAAAUCAGAAUCAUGUUUAUAUGCCCUCAACUCCACUUGUCUUUUGCUCUACAAAAUCAGAGCUUCACCUUUCUAUGAACCUUCAUGACAAAGACCUUUGAUGAGAAUUUGAGGUCUAAAUCCAACCAUGCCAUCUCAACUACACUUCCAUUGAUAUUGGCCCAGUCUUAGAGGAUUUACACCCACAGAUUGAGACACCCUUUUUGAAGCAGCGCCAUUAUCAGCAGCAGUAGAAUAGAGAAAGCAGGGGGUGCAGUCUUAAGACUAAUCACAAUGAGGAGGAUCAUGAAGAUUACAAUGAAGGGACAUUAACAUCAACUACCUCAACAUCUGAGUCUAUUCAGAGGUUAAGUCUAUUCCAAGCCAAUUGGAACAGUUUAAAAAAUCUUAACAGGGGACAAAAAAAAUACAAUAUUUGAAUGUGGGAGCUUUGUAGGUGCUAUUUAGAAAAGUUAGUCAUUGGGAGCAGGUGGAUAGGAUGGAGAGAUUAGAUGAUUAAGGAGUACAGAGGAACCAACAGUGUCCUGUCUGUCAGAUGCAUGAGGAGGUGGAGCAGCAGCAGACGGCUGUAGAUGUUCUUUCUACAGUUGGUCUGCUUUGAGACAUCCCUCCCAGGACAGAGUAUGUGGUGUCUUAACCUCUGUUUGCCUUCAUGUACCACAAUGACUCCAUAUUGACCUAAUAUCUCUCGAACGCCAGUUAUUUCCACACUCAACUGCUCCCAGCAACAUAAGGGACAAAGCUUAUUUUCAUAGUUGUAGCACUGACUUUGAGAACUUGUGGGGCUAUUGAGUGUAGGAGUAUGUGAGUAUGGUUUAUGUUGUCUUCACUAAGAGGGUUUCACAGAAAUAAGUGCCAUCAGUUUUACUUUAGGGGAAAUCAGUACUUUACAUAGGAUAUUAGCAAUGACCAGUUUUACAAGAAGAAAUGUGUAAGCUGUAACCAGAAGCCAGUGUUGGCAAACAUUCUACAGGAGUUGUUUCAAUGUCAGUAGUGGUUUAGUUAUCCAGAAUUCAGGCUAAAGCCAAACAUCCUCUGAUCUACCUUGUUUUCCAAUAUACAGUACAUUACAAUAGCAAAGGAUUUCUGUCUUGCAAAAUGUCUUCAAUGAUUAAAGAUGAUAAAUGCAAUGUUUCCCAUUUUUUGUUUUUAAAAAAUAGCUUGACUCCAACAUACUGAUUUGUUUGAAAUCUACCUAAAUACAUAGAUACAAUUGAAAAUAAAGAAGUUAUCGUUCAGCUUCACCCUUCUUGGCAGCUGUAUGAUCUGAGGAUUUCUUGUUGUGAAACCCUUGUUUGCGGAGGUGAGAUGGGAUUUCUGCAGGGUGUAGCUACAUAUGAGGAGACCGAGGUCCAGACCUCAGUAAUUAAUUUGAAUUUAAAAAAGGAACUCUCAACUUACUGUUGAGAGUUAGAAUAAUAGAAUACAUAAGGUGCAAUUUUGAAACUUGGCUGUGCAUCAGCAGUCUCUCUUGUGUAUAUGUCACUGACAGUCACUCAAUCAGCCCAUGUCAGAAAACAUUGUAGAUUGGUAAAUUACUCUAGUUAGCUAUCUAGACUUGUAGUAAUCAUGGACAAAUUACUGACCGGGAACGCAGGUCAUGUGCCCAGGUGCCCAGACCUCCAAGGGGCCUCCAUUGAUUUAGUUAGUUACUCUCACUCAGAUAUCAUAUUAACAUGGCAUAAGUCAUGUGUAGAAUUGCAGGAAAUGAACUAUAAAACUGCAACAACAAAAAAGUUAUGUUUAGCAAAUGUAUUUGUUCACCUUUUGUUAAUAAAAUACUUUUUCUGCUACACAACUCUGUACAUUUUCAAUUAUAGUUUUUCAUCUAAUUGUAUAACUAUUAGGCUAUGUAUUUGUAGAACAACUGAGGUGAAUGAAGCUACAGCAACCAAUAUGACAAUGGUUGUUUUUGCUGUUCUCCAAAUAGCAUUUGGCAGUUUUUAAAUUGUAUAGAAAUGCUGUAAAUGAGAUUCUACUUUAUUAAAAUGCAUUGGCUACGGCCCUGGAUGUCUGAGUUAGCUGUGUCCUUCUCUCUACCAAUACAUACUGUACUGUGACUUUAUGUAGUCUACUGUAAACACUUCCUAUCACAAUAGUCAUUUGAUGUUAUUCUAAGUUAGCAUUAUUAGGUAACCAGGUUAGCAUGUUAGCGCUCAAACCAUGAGAGUCGGACUUAAGCCAUUUCCUGAGAAAUACAGGCCAGUCAAUGUCUUUUAUUAAAUCAAACCUGUAACAUAAUCUGUACCACAUACAUUAAAAAUCCUCAUACUUUCUCAUACUACCAACAUACUUUAUUUUCUAUUUAAAAUCUUUGGACCAGCAGAAAAUUUUGUUGAUACAGCAAUCGUUAAGCAUACGGGACUAAAUAGAAUUAGAACCACACGAGCUACAUCCCAUCUCCACUCCAACCUAGGUGUGUGUGUGGUGUGUAUUGAUAAUGAGGUCUACCCGGAUCCAGAGGACUGUGAGGUUACCUUAUACGGACUAAUGAGAAAAGGUGAGAUGUACUUUUGUUUUCAUACACAUACAUAUACUUUAAAAGAGUGAGGUAGAUAUAUACUUGAAGGGAAAAAAAGAAAAACAUCCCCAGUCAUGACACCAAAGAAAAUACAUAUAAAGAAAUCCAACUUUAUACUGAAUCAUGGGGCCUUUAUACAGUGAUUUAAACUGAUAUCACAAAAGGAAAAUUAAAAAAUAAAUAACAAUCCUACAGAGAACCUUCAAAGAAGGAAACAAUAAUCACCAAGCAACACUUUUUCAAAAGGAGAAGUGCUUCAAAAACAUUUUUCAUACCGACACCCCCACUAAGACCUAUUCCAUUCAUGACAUUGAAAUGUGACCACUUCCCUGGACUUUAACCCAUCCUUAUUUGGUUUACAGAUGCCAUGUUUAAGGAGAAGAACAACAGAAACUGUUUUCACUUUCAUCACAAGAAAAUGAGUAUGACAACAGAAAUGAAUCGAAUGAUAAAGGAGAAUAAGCAGUAAUGCUGUGUUUGAAAUCUAAGACACAAAAAGAGAACCAUGAUUAUGGAUGAGUCUUCUUUGAGGGGAUGGUGAGUGGUUGGGAUAAUUAAGGCAAACAAGACAACCCAAUUAGCCCUAUUAAUUGAGAGGCAGGAAAAUGGAUGGGUUAAAACACCAGAUGCAGUAGAAAAAAAGAAAAUCCCGUGGAACUAAUCCUGACUUCAAAAGGAGGCACUGGGGGAGGCAGGUAUACUGUACAUUUCAGUGUGGGGCUGGAGGGGAGGGGAGAGGGCACUAUUGGACUCGACAGAGAGGUGAAACAAGCAGAGGACAGUAAUGAGAAUGUAUGGAGAAAGCAAAACCUUUACUUCGACCUGAGAUUGAGUUGCACCUAGGGGGGAAUAACUAGGCGCAGUGCUAGACAACUGGUACAAGAAGGGUGACAAAUGUACACGCUCACACAUGGAGCUAAGGUGUCCAUUCAAACUAAUAAUAAUAAUAAUAAUAAUAUAGAAAUCUACAAAAAAAGAAUGCAAAGGAAAACAUGUUCAUAAAAAAGUUAAAGGCAAUGGAGAAUAUGUGGUGAUACAGACAACCUUCUGGGGUAAAGAAGAGAGAAAAGUCAUUUUAUAUCUAAAUUAUCAUUUUCUUUGCUUGGAGAAGUAUGAUGCAUAAGAAAUGGACUGUAGUGGAGAUCAUAAACUAUUAAACCUGAAGGAUUCCUUUUAUAUAUAUAUAUAGGAUUCCUUAUAUAUAUAUAUAUAUAUAUAUAUAUAUAGGAUUCCUUAUAUAUAUAUAUAUAUAUAUAUAUAUAUAUAUAUAUAUAUAUAUAUAAAAAACAUCUACAAAAGAAAAAGAAUAAAAUAGCAGCUUCAUUCUGUACAGGUGAACAUCUGAACAGUACAAAAGUUAUAAAAGUGACAAACCAAUGAUGUGUGUGAAAAUGAUCCUAAGGUCUAACAUACAACUGUAAGACCUUUAUAUAAAUGUUUGAAUUGUACAGAGAGACUAAUGACAAGUCUAAAAAAGAUCUGCUGCGUACAAUGCCUCGCAUGCUUUUAGCAGACGUAUGUAUAGUCACAAGGUGAAGUUCUGUUGAGUCUUUUAGUUCUCCUUGUAUCAGAACUGAUCCAAUACCUUCCACUUCAGGUUUGUUUCUGUAUGUGUUGCAUUUUUGGCGCCAAGUAUUUUUCGCUCAAUGUCUCUGUUGGUGAUGUUGGUGUUUUCAUCUCUCAGAUGACACAUACAAUAGAAGAGGAAUCCAAUAAGGGCUCUGAUGUAAC